UGGCCAGGCUAGUCUGGAGCUCCUGACCUCGUGAUCUGCCUGCCUCGGCCUCCCAAAAUGCUGGGAUUACAGGCGUGAGCCACCGUACCCAACCUUAAUAAGAACAAGCUAGGCACCUAGGGUGUCAAAUUGAAGGAGGCUCUGAUUCUCAGGGCCGCGCAAAUGCAGGGUUGGCACCUAUGCGUGUGGCCCUCCUGAAAUUUUGUGCCUUAGGCACCUGGCUUGCUUCUCCCUAAUUCAGGCCCUCAGGAGAAAGCUCUAAUUCUGGUCAAUUUGAAACAGGAGGGCACGGCUUCUGGGCGACGCUCCGUGCUCCAGAGAGAGCCAUUUGUCUGUUCCCUUCCUCUGGACGUCACCGUGCCAACAUGAAAUGCUUCCAAUUGAGUCCAGCCUGAGAUGGAAGGGGGUGGGGGGAUAUCUGAUGACAUCACGAACUGCUGCAUCAACUCCCCCGAGUCCCUGCCUCUGGAUCCCCUGAUAGAGGACACAAGGAGUGUCCUGAGCCCGUGUGACUCAGUGUCUCUUCCCAUCACUUUGCGGGAAAAUGGGGCUGCUUACACCACACCGCAGCCCAAACACCUGUGGCUAGAGAAGGGCUUGGGUACUAGGAGUGAGGACGCCUGGUUCUGGGCCCAGGACUAGUACUAGUUAGUGGUGGGACCUGGAACAAAUGCUUUGGUUCUAAGUGAAUCCCCCAUAUUCAUGACAAGAGGCGUGGAACACAGACCCAUGGGGCCUUCCCACUGGAACAGGGAGCUUGGCUGUCACCCGACCUUCGCUUCCUUAAGUAGAAAAGCCCAGGGUUCCAGGCUCCGUCUCCUUUCCCGCAGACGCCUUGUUUCUUCGCGCGGAGGCCCUGGACGCCGCAGGCUCCCAACCUACUUCUCUGGGCUGUCAGGUUCUGAACCCGGUCCUGAAGAGGCCCUGGCGCCGGGGGUGGGUGAGGCCGAGCGCGCGCCUUGGGAACCUG
rnacentral:lncRNA from 1 species